rnacentral:lncRNA from 1 species
UAUUACGAUCUCGUGCAAGAGCUGCCUUCUUACUUAUAUCGAAAUCAUAUGGGGUAUCCUUUUCCCUUAUCUUUGAACCUUCAUUCCUUUCUCUCUAAUAAUAGUACUGGAACAGGCAUCUUGAUGAAGAGUAUAUAUAUUGAAGUCUUUUAAUCUCAUAAGGUGAUUGUAAUAACGUCUUGCUCUUUUUGAGAAAAAGCCUUCAAACCUUUAUACCAUGCUUCCAGUACUAUAGUCCUGAUUUCUGAUCCCAUGCUUUUUGUCAGACUGGAUCUAAUUUAUUCUUAUUCUUCUCACACCAGACAGUUUAAGUUGUCCUAAUUGCUUACUCAAAUAAGAUUUGGUGUUCAUCUGUCUGUCUUGAUCUUCUCUUCUGCAGUUCUCUGUUGCAUCGACCCCCUUACUACGUCUAGCUUCUAUUACACGGAACGGGUUUAGGUCUAACGGCACUCUCCAAACCCAAAAAUUCUGAAACAUGCAAUGCAAGCAUGAUGCAACGAUUCCUACGUACUUUCAGACUCAUAUACACACUCGUAGAAAAAUUGGUGGCAUCGUAAUCUCUCCCUAAAUAAUAG